CCUACGGGAGGCAGCAGUGAGGAAUAUUGGUCAAUGGGCGUAAGCCUGAACCAGCCAAGUCGCGUGAGGGAUGAAGGUUCUAUGGAUCGUAAACCUCUUUUAUAAGGGAAUAAAGCGUUGCACGUGUCCUGUUUUGUAUGUACCUUAUGAAUAAGGAUCGGCUAACUCCGUGCCAGCAGCCGCGGUAAUACGGAGGAUCCGAGCGUUAUCCGGAUUUAUUGGGUUUAAAGGGUGCGUAGGCGGCUUUUUAAGUCAGUGGUGAAAGUUUGUGGCUCAACCAUAGAAUUGCCGUUGAAACUGGAAGUCUUGAGUAUGUUAGAGGCGGGCGGAAUGCGUGGUGUAGCGGUGAAAUGCUUAGAUAUCACGAAGAACCCCGAUUGCGAAGGCAGUCUGC
rnacentral:rRNA from 1 species